UACGUAGGGGCGAGCGUUGUCCGGAAUUAUUGGGCGUAAAGAGUGCGUAGGUGGUUACCUAAGCGCAAGGUUUAAUCUUGAGGCUCAACCUCAUUCUGCCUUGCGAACUGGGCUACUUGAGUGCAGGAGGGGAAAGCGGAAUUCCUAGUGUAGCGGUGAAAUGCGUAGAUAUUAGGAAGAACACCGGUGGCGAAGGCGGCUUUCUGGACUGUAACUGACACUGAGGCACGAAAGCGUGGGGAGCAAACAGGAUUAGAUACCCCCGUAGUCCCUGAGCGGG
rnacentral:rRNA from 1 species